UCUUCAUUUCACACACUCUCUCGCCCUGUCGAGUGUCGAGAGAGUGUGCGAAAUGAAGAGA
rfam:Pristionchus pacificus strain PS312 contig10191, whole genome shotgun sequence.